UACGAAGGGGGCUAGCGUUACUCGGAAUGACUGGGCGUAAAGGGCGCGUAGGCGGACGGCUUUGUCGGGCGUGAAAUUCCAGGGCUUAACCUUGGGGCUGCGUUCGAGACGGGUUGUCUAGAGUUUGGAAGAGGGUCGUGGAAUUCCCAGUGUAGAGGUGAAAUUCGUAGAUAUUGGGAAGAACACCGGUGGCGAAGGCGGCGACCUGGUCCUUGACUGACGCUGAGGCACGAAAGCGUGGGGAGCAAACAGG
rnacentral:rRNA from 1 species